rnacentral:rRNA from 1 species
UUGCUCUUCAACGAGGAAUGCCUAGUAGGCACAAGUCAUCAGCUUGUGCCGAUUACGUCCCUGCCCUUUGUACACACCGCCCGUCGCUACUACCGAUUGAAUGGCUCAGUGAGGCCUUCGGACUGGCCGGCGUGGGAUCGGCAACGAUCACCCCAGUGCCGGAAAGUUGGUCAAACUUGGUCAUUUAGAGGAAGUAAAAGUCGUAACAAGGUUUCCGUAGGUGAACCUGCGGAAGGAUCAUUACCGUGUGUUCCCUAAUUCCCCGGCGGGGGCUUACAAGGCCCUCGCCGGGAAUUCUGGGAUCCUUCCCCCCCAUCCUUGUCUACUUCAGCACCCGUUGCUUCGGCGGUCGUCGUCCCUCUUCUCCCUUCGGCUUUGCUCCCGGAGCAUCUCUGUAAGGGUUAAGAGAGGGGGUUGUUUCGACAGGCUCGCUCCCGGGGGAACCCUUCCCCAUCGAGGCCAGGCCAGGCCGCCGGAAGCCUUCAUUCUUCAGUGAACUUCUNAGCUUUGAAUCGUGGAGUGUGAUCCGGUCUGAGAGUAUGUGUGGCGUGAAGCCAGCAGCAGAAAUUCCAUUUUAAAACUUUCAACAACGGAUCUCUUGGUUCCGACAUCGGUGAAGAACGCAGCGAAAUGCGAUAAGUAAUGUGAAUUGCAGAAUUCCGUGAAUCAUCGAAUCUUUGAACGCACAUUGCNCCCCCUGGUAUUCCGGGGGGCAUGCCUGUCCGAGCGUCAUUGCAACCUCCCUCAAGCUCGGCUUGGGUGUUGGGCCUUCUCUGCUGUCCCGCGCUUUGUGGACAGGCCCGAAAGGCAGUGGCGGUAUCGUGCUCCGGUGCCCGAGUGUAUGGGAAUGACUGGUUGUUUUCAGAGGGGAACUGAAGGAGCCUCAUGCUCCUUCCCCCCCUGGCCCGCAGAACCUGCUCGCAUGGCCCGGCCGGUGCCUUAGCCGUCCGCGGAGAGUUGGAGGAAAGAGGGGAAAGCCCCCUUCCUCGAGCUCUCUCGCUCUCUCUUUCCAGUGGUUGACCUCGGAUCAGGUAGGGAUACCCGCUGAACUUAAGCAUAUCAAUAAGCGGAGGA